rnacentral:snRNA from 1 species
AGCUUUGCACAGUGGCCAGUAUCAUAACCAAUGAAGUUAAUCUGAGGUGUGAUUAUUGCUACUUGAAAAUCCACUCCUCUCCCCCUUCCUGGUGGUAGAUGGUACAGUACUACUGUAGACAGCAGAAACUG